rnacentral:rRNA from 1 species
AUUGAACGCUGGCGGCAUGCUUUACACAUGCAAGUCGAACGGUAACAGGCCGCAAGGUGCUGACGAGUGGCGAACGGGUGAGUAAUGCAUCGGAACGUGCCCAGUCCUGGGGGAUAACUACUCGAUAGAGUAGCUAAUACCGCAUACGAUCUAUGGAUGAAAGCGGGGGACCUUAAGGCCUCGCGCGAUUCGGGCGGUCGAUGUCAGAUUAGGUAGUUGGUGGGGUAAAGGCUCACCAAGCCAACGAUCUGUAGCUGGUCUGAGAGGACGACCAGCCACACUGGGACUGAGACACGGCCCAGACUCCUACGGGAGGCAGCAGUGGGGAAUUUUGGACAAUGGGCGCAAGCCUGAUCCAGCAAUGCCGCGUGCAGGAAGAAGGCCUUCGGGUUGUAAACUGCUUUUGUACGGAACGAAACGGCUCUGGUUAAUACCCGGGGCUAAUGACGGUACCGUAAGAAUAAGCACCGGCUAACUACGUG